UUAAAAAAGGUUCUGGUUUUAAUUGUGCAUAUCUCCCAGUUAACCCGGCAAGAAUUGCCUCAGAUAAACAAACCAAAGGUAAGUGUACAAUACCAACUAAAUAUGACAUCACCUCCACGGGUUAUAGGGAACCUGGCAGUUGGCUACCUAUCUGAACACUUUCUGUACUUUAAUUACUUUUUCUGCUACUUUUUAACUCUAUGUCCACAAACUGAUUUCUGGUGUGUUUGAUGUUUUAGCAACACCAACGGUAGCAGUUUAACAUACAACAAACAAAGAGUUAAUGAAUUGAAAGAUUAAACAACACUGCCGUCCCCAUCGCCGUUCCCAUCGCCGUCGCCAAAGCCGUCGUCGCCACAACUGCUGCUGCCUCCAUCAUCACCACACUCAGACGAAUUGAGUCGCCACCACCAUUGUCUAGAACCACAGUUCUGCUCAGACGGAUUGAGUCACCACCACUAUCCUCCGGAAUCACAGUUCUGCUCAGACAAAUGAAAUCGCCAACACAAACUGAAAAUUAAAGAAAAGAAUCUUCAAAUGUCGAAAGAAAUUCUCGAAGAAGUUUCCAUUUCGGUUUAUGUGUCAGCAAAAUAAACUGUUGAAAAUAAAAAAUGGAAGAUGUGAUGAUUAUUGAACCAUUGAAAUAUACUGUAUUGAAAAAAAAAAGAAAAAAGAAAGAAAGAAAUAUAUAAAUAUAUAUAAAUGCAUGUCAAUGUAGAUAGCAUUCCUUAUGUAAACAUUCUUAAGUAAGAGUCAAUUACAGUUAUAUCAGGUAAAGUAUUAAUUAAUUAAUAAUUCUUAAUACAGAAUUAUAAAUAGAGCACUACACUGAGCAACUGUGUCCCUUUAUGUUCAAUAUCUAACCAUGUGUUGAUAUCCUAACCACGUGACACUGACGUAAUACAUCUGAGGUGUAGUUACAACUAAAUCCGCCAUGUUGGACCUAUGAUUCAGUCGUGGAUGUUUACAUAAUAUGGGGUUAUAAUGAAUUGCUUUCCUUGUAGGAUAUACUAUGGCCAACAACGUUAGUAGUAACUGGAUUUACAUGCUGAGAAAACUUUUUGCUUCAUAAGGGAAAUAUGUGUGUUGUACUAUUUGAAGGAAUUUCUGUGUAAAAUUCAUAUGGGUAGGUAUACCGUACAUACAUUGUAUAUGUGUGUACACACUUGCACAUUACAACACGUCUGUGUUAUUGACACGAAGAUAAUGUAUCAUAUAUGAUCAGAUAUGUUCCUUAGGAUUGAGCAGUAUUACAAUAUAUAGACGAGAUUUAUCAAUUGAUCGAUUAAUUAAUUGUAACGUCUGUCUACCUGUUAUGAUAAAGGGUUUAUCGGAUAUAAAUAGCAAUAUAAUGGGUAUGUGUUUGUUUAUGUGUUUACACAAAGUGAUCUUUAAAGCCCUCCCCGUUUGUCACGGUAUCCCUAUAAUAUCCAUGUUCCGCAAAUUAUCCUUUUAUACACUUCUGGUGUCAUUACUUAGUCUCCGCUAUUCGUAACCUGCUUGUCACGUUUAAGUUCAUUUGAAAGUUAAUAUGUUAAGAAUAUAUGAUGUGAUAUGUAUGAAAAUUAAUUCACAACAACUUUAUGAUGCAGUUCAAUUCAUUAUGACUACGCUGUAUAUAGCUCUCCUUGUUUUUAUGGUGCAAAUAUUGUAUAAUCAUUUAGUAGUCUUAGAUAUGACAUCCGAUGUGUAAACUUAAGUUAUCAAUCAAACAAUGGGCCAAGUGUCCAUUUUACCUUUUAGUUGUAAUCUUUUUGACAAUAGACAAUCAAUGGAUGCGUUGGAGCCUAUAUUUUGUAAUGUAGUAAUUUAAAUAAGAUUCGUAAAGAGAUUACUUACCUAUAAUUAUUCGGGUAGGUGACUUUCUGAUAAAGGAUCUAAGUAGAUUUAAGUUUUAUUGAAAAAAAAAAAUGAAUAUUAAAUAACAACCAAACAAAAUUGAAAAUAGCAUGAUGCCUUUUAAAAUAUACAAUGAAAAAUAUAUUUAACCCCCUUUCAAACUACCAACAUCCAAAAACACAAUGGUUUCCAGACUGGCUACAGCACCACAUUCUCCCUUCAAAUAAUUAUUUUAAAAUCAUCAUACCUCGGACAAUAAUAUGCUAAAUGCCUGUAGUUGGGUGGUAAUUAAAAUUUCAUCCACUUAUGCAUUUUUGUACUAAAGCAGCAAAACAUAAUUUUCGAAAAUCUAUUUUAAAAACAUAUAUUUUUUGACAACAUUUUUUCUCGAUAUCUGAUCUGAAUGCCAAAAACUCAUUCAAACCUUCAAGACUCAUCCUUUGUUUUUUCCUUGACAUAAAGGAUAUAAACCAGUAUAUAAAUUUCACAUAUAGUAUAAGGAAGUUCAAAGGUAGUGAAAAGCAGCUGGUAUCUCCAAAAGGUUCUGUUUCUAAUCUAAAAUGUGAAAAAUAAAUACAUUCGUAUUUUGAGCCUUGUUCAUCGGACAUAUACAUGUAUAUUCCAGCUGGUAUUUAGUUGAGUAUUACAAUAAAUAGUAUCCAUUAAAAUGAUUUCGUAUUUUCAAAGUCAGUCUACCAAUAUUUUUGAGGUGUAUACAUAUGUGUGUGUGGAAGUAUGUAGUGUGUGUGGGAGUAUGUAUGGUAUGGAUACUAUUAGGUGUAUUAUCUUUAUUGCGUGGAGUCCUUUGUAUGAAUGUAUGAUGUGUGCAUGAUGCAUAAAAUGGUGGUUCUUUUAUUUUGUUUAGGUUUUUUCUGUCCUAAAAUAUUUUAACACCACCACCCUUGAUGAAACUUGAUACACGUAAAUAAUCAUGAUUAUGCAAUUGCCUUAUUUAGUUUGUCAAGAUUUACUUCUCCAACUUUUUUUUUCUGACAAUGAUAAUACAUUGUAUAUACUGGUAUAAUUGUGUGUUGUGUGAGGGCACAAUAUUGUUCGGGGGGUUUGAACCCAGGGCUCCCCAACCGUGGCAAUCCUUAUCAACCUUAUAUAUAUAAUUCAGAUUGUUAAUGCUGGGGAAAUACAAUAUCUGUAUCGUUCAAAAAUGCAAUCAAUGAUUAGUAAUUUCUCUAACUUUUUCUUGUAGUUAUUCAAAACUGGAGAAUGACUUUAUUCAGUAUAGUAAUUCCAGAUAUACGUGUAAUACAUCUUUGAAAGCAAAAAUCGCUUAUAUUGAAAUUAUUAAAUAUAUCAUCUAUGUAUAUACGUUAAUCAAUUGGAAGCUAAAAACAAUAUAUCAUUUAAUAAUCAACCUUAGUGCGUGUUACCCUAUCAAUAGAGACUAUUUGAUGUCGCCAUGAUGUUUAAGUACAUGUAUAAUAUUUAUAAAUAGAUGCAUUGAGUGAAGUAAUCAACACGAUUUUUUUGAACUGAUGUUUUAUACUCAACACAAAAAAUAUUUUCAACGUUUAAUCCAUUUUACCUCGUUGUAUGUUUCGGUAUAUAACUAUGCUUGUCAUCCCCAUACAUAUCAUUUUUGCUGUCGUCACCCCGUUCGUUCCUUGAUGUCUUCUGCUGUAAGCAUAUUAUUGUAACCAAAUUUACAUUUACGGUCAUUACAUAAUUAUUUGUAUCAAAUACCCUUUUAUUGAAUAAACUGUAAAUGUUAACUUA